AGUGAACGCUAGCGGUAGGCCUAACACAUGCAAGUCGAACGGCAGCACAGUAAGAGCUUGCUCUUACGGGUGGCGAGUGGCGGACGGGUGAGGAAUACAUCGGAAUCUACUUUUUCGUGGGGGAUAACGUAGGGAAACUUACGCUAAUACCGCAUACGACCUACGGGUGAAAGCAGGGGAUCUUCGGACCUUGCGCGAUUGUAUGAGCCGAUGUCGGAUUAGCUAGUUGGCGGGGUAAAGGCCCACCAAGGCGACGAUCCGUAGCUGGUCUGAGAGGAUGAUCAGCCACACUGGAACUGAGACACGGUCCAGACUCCUACGGGAGGCAGCAGUGGGGAAUAUUGGACAAUGGGCGCAAGCCUGAUCCAGCCAUACCGCGUGGGUGAAGAAGGCCUUCGGGUUGUAAAGCCCUUUUGUUGGGAAAGAAAAGCAGCAGGUUAAUACCCCGCUGUUCUGACGGUACCCAAAGAAUAAGCACCGGCUAACUUCGUG
rnacentral:rRNA from 1 species